AUGCUUCUAGGCCAUAUGUGCUUUUACUGUCAUGUUGUGUGUUGUUUCUGUCCUUUCCCUUCACCCUGUCUCCCUCUGCUGGUCGUUGUUAGGUUACCUUUUCUCCCCCUCUUUCCCCCAGCUGUGCCUUGUCUCCUCCUAACUACCUCAUCCACAAUUUUCCCACCUGUUCCCUUUUUCCCUCUGAUUAGGUCCCUAUAUCUCUCUCUGUUUCUGCUCCUGUCUUUGUCGGAUUCUUGUUUGUUGUGUUUCAUGCCUGAACCAGACUAUCGUCAUGUUCGCUGUAACCUUGUCCUGUCCUGUCGGAAUCUGCCGGUCUAUCUGAGCCUACCUAUGUUUGGUUAUUAAAGAAGCUCUGUUUAAGUUAAUUCGCUUUUGGGUCCUCAUUCACUCACCGUAACAUUUUGUAUGUGAAGAAGCAGUUUAGACCCGUAGGCCACAGGAUAUUCAUGUUUGUGUUGGAUUACAUUGCUCACUCUCCAUCCCUUUAACAAACUCCAACUCCUGGCAGAACCAGAAAGUCUCUCCCCCUCCUACAAACCUUCUAAAACUUAAGAGUUUCUGUUUCUGUCUGUAUGAGAGUGAACAACAGUCCAAAUGGCUCAACAGGGAAUUCUGCUGGACCAGUUCUGUUGUUCUGUCUAUCUGGAUCUACUGAAGGCUAUCCCCUGUGGGCACAGUUACUGUAGGAGCUGUAUUGAGGGCUGAUGGGAUCAGGAUGAUCCGAAGGAGGUCUGCAGCUGACCUCAGUGGAGACAGACUUAUUGAAGAAGACAGGACUCCAAGCUGCUCCGUGCUAUGCUGGACCUGAAGAUGUGGCAUGCGAUUUCUGCCUUUCCCACCCUUACACCCUUCACAAUAGAAUGAAUUGAGCUUUUAACGUGGCACACCUGUUAAUUGAAAUGCAUUCCAGAUGACUGCCUCAUGAAGCUGUUUGAAAGAAUGCCAAGCGUGUGCAAAGCUGUCAUCAAGGAAAAGGGUGGCUACUUUGAAGAAUCUAAAUUAUAUUUUGAUUUGUUUAACACUUUUUUGGUUACUACAUGAUUCCAUAUGUGUUAUUUCCUAGUUUUCAUGCCUUCACUAUUCUUCUACAAUGUAGACAAUGGUAGAAAUAAAGAAAAACCCUUGAAUGAGUAGGUGUGUCCAAACUUUUGACUGGUACUGUACAUAGGGCAGCAGUCUCUAAGUUAGAGAGUAGUGUACCGGGUGGUAGCCGGUGUUGUGCCGAAAAGCUCCCCCUGCCAGAAUCCCCCCCCCCCCUCGUGUGAACGUGCACACACUCAAUUCUUCAUUGCUGCGACUUGCUGGCUAGUUGAGAUUUCUGAUCACGUUAGGCUGCGUUUCAUUUGAUUUUUUAUGACGGUGUGAUCGCAGGGGAGGCACUAGUAAUGUCUGCAGUUUUUGGUUUGGCUAUUUGUUUCAGGUGUAUUAGUCUAUAAAUAAAUCUCUUUGCCAAAAAUCGUCAUCUCUCCCAUGUCUUAUUCGACUAGUAGUUGUUCUGAAAUGUUUAUUGCUUGCCUACAUUUUACUCCCUCCUCUAUGUUUAAUAUAACACACAUACAUUAAUUAUUAAGUUCAGUUGCCCAUCCUGAUGUGAAGUUUGUUCUAUGGAAAGUAUUUGACUCUGAUGUGUGCCACAGAGAGUAUUUGACUCUAGCCACAAAAUUAAGGAAAUUAGGAGGUAGGAGGGAGAAUUUUGAC
rnacentral:lncRNA from 13 species